rnacentral:misc_RNA from 1 species
AACGCGAACACGCUUCAACUGGAAAGCGGAAACAGACGGCGCUCUGGUGCUGUGCGCCAUAUUCGAACUAGACGGGCAAGCGGCAGGUCGGGAUUAAUACACCAGCCUCCAGCCGAGUUGUCUCGUUUUCCCGUUUUCUUACCGCUGGCUUGCUUGCCGUUUCACUGGGGGGCUUCAUUCAAAGCAGCUAGCGAUGGGGUCAAGCGUUGGGGACAUAAGGAAUAACAUGAAGAUUCUUCAAAAUGAGAUUCGCCACAUUAAGUAUCCAGAUGAAGUUGACUAUGUAGAGAUCUCAAAAGGCAUGCCUCAGGCAUAUUUGCCACUCUACCACUAUGCAUUCAGCACAUACAGCCCUGUCUUUGCUGAUGAAAUUAUUCAUUUGUUGGAUGAUACUCUAUAUAGCAAAUCUGAUCUUCGCUUUAUGGAAUCUGUCUACAGGGUGUUGCGUGAUCUAUUUCGUUACAAGCCAUCAAUCACAAAAGAGCAGUUUUUUUCUGCUGGUAACUUUGCUGAGCGGAAAGUCAUGAUGUGUACAGAUAUCCUACGAUUAGUUCGAGAUCGUGUACGUUUGCUUGAACCACAGAAACCAACUAAUCCCAACAUAAAAGUAUCUUCUGUCAUAGACAACCGCCGCAACUCAAAGUUAGGAUCCCGUGUGCAUUUGUCAGAGAAUGUCAGUGCAGAACCUUCACUUGACAAUUCUCUUGUGCGGAAAACCUCCAGAACAUCAUCUCUGCAGGGCUCAUCACCUGUCCAAAAUCAACCUGCUGAGAACUACUCAGAAGAAACCGUGUGCAAAGUUACAGGUUACGUGAGGCCCAAGUCAGGCAGAGGGCUUGCCCAAGUUGAAGCUCAGAGUCCAGAUUCUUCCAUGGACUUUUUUCCUUUCCGCACUGACCACUCUGAUGCCAUGGAAACCAUUUUGGCCAAAGUUCGAGAUUUGCCAUCUCAGCUUUCUAACUUCAUGCAGGCUGUGGAGAAUCGACUUUAUUACAUGCAGGAGAAGCUUCAAGAAUGCGAGACUGUCAUCAAGGAGCUUAAGACCCACGAAAUGGAAAGGGAAAUGAAGAAGAAGGCUGAAGAAGACCCUAUGCAGCUGGUGGACAGCCUCAGAUCUCGUCUUCUGCUUUUAGAAAACCGUGUCAAGCUCCUUGAAUCCAAGAAUAAGGUUUGCCAAGCACCAGCAGAUGAAAAGAAGCAUUCUGCCAACCCCUUUGUGUCUCUGGAAAAAGGAGGAUUUCAGAUUCAAUAUGGCGGAAACUGGUCGCACUUCUAUAGCUAGGUCACUUCUGCAGAGGGUGGCAACAUUUUUCCUGCCUGAUCCAAGACAAGACCUCAGUGAAUAGGACCAAAGACAUAAUGAUUUCCCAAGAGGAUACCAGGGAGACCAGAUACAAAUGGAUUCAAGCAUGUUUUCAGAGUUUCAAAGGAGCAACAGCAAUUCUUUUGCCAGCACAACAAUCAAAGAUUUCUC